UGGCUGAGCGGUAAAGCACUUGGCUUCUGAACCAGGGGUCCCAGGUUUGAAUCCUGG
rfam:Biomphalaria glabrata isolate BB02 linkage group LG4 unlocalized genomic scaffold LG4_random_Scaffold56, whole genome shotgun sequence.